AUCUUAUCAAGAGCAGGUGGAGGGACUAGCCCGAUGAAACCCGGCAACCGACUUAUUCCAAUAAGCACGGUGCUAAAUCUUGCAGCACGAGGCUGAUAGAUAAGAG
rnacentral:ncRNA from 2 species